rnacentral:rRNA from 1 species
CCCUUAGAUGUUCUGGGCCGCACGCGCGCUACACUGAGUAAUUCAAUGGGUAAGGGAACGCUAGAGCAUUACCUAAUCUUGAAAUUUGCUCGUGAUGGGGAUCGACGGUUGCAAUUUUCCGUCGUGAACGAGGAAUACCUUGUAGGCGCAUGUCAUCAUCAUGCGCCGAAUACGUCCCUGCCCUUUGUACACACCGCCCGUCGCUCCUACCGAUUGAGUGAUCCGGUGAGGCUCUGGGACCUGGACGGAAAGAGCGUUUCGCUUGUUCUGUUUGGGAAACUUGGUCGAACCUUAUCAUUUAGAGGAAGGAGAAGUCGUAACA